rnacentral:rRNA from 1 species
GAUUAACGCUGGCGGCGUGCAUAACACAUGCCAGUCGAACGAUGAAACUCAUUAGAUUUCUUCGGAAUGAAAAUGAAUGGAUUAGUGGCGAACGGGUGAGUAACGCGUGAGUAACCUGCCUUACACAAGGGGAUAGCCUCUGGAAACGGAGAAUAAUACCCUAUGAAACCAGACAAUCGCAUGAUAAUCUGGUCAAAAUGUUUAGUGGUGUAAGAUGGACUUGCGUCUGAUUAGCUAGUUGGUGAGAUAAAAGCUCACCAAGGCAACGAUCAGUAGCCGGCUUGAGAGAGUGUACGGCCACAUUGGGACUGAGACACGGCCCAGACUCCUACGGGAGGCAGCAGUGGGGAAUUUUGCACAAUGGGGGAAACCCUGAUGCAGCGACGCCGCGUGAUUUAGAAGGCCUUCGGGUUGUAAAAAUCUUUUGUAUAGGAAGAAAAUGGCAGUACUAUACGAAUAAGGUCCGGCUAAUUACGUG